UACAGAGGUGGCAAGCGUUGUUCGGAAUUACUGGGCGUAAAGGGCGCGUAGGCGGCUUUUUAAGUCAGACGUGAAAUCCCCCGGCUUAACCUGGGAACUGCGUCUGAUACUGGGAAGCUUGAGUUCGGGAGAGGGAUGUAGAAUUCCAGGUGUAGCGGUGAAAUGCGUAGAUAUCUGGAGGAACACCGGUGGCGAAGGCGGCAUCCUGGACCGGCAUUGACGCUGAGGCGCGAAAGCCAGGGGAGCAAACGGG
rnacentral:rRNA from 1 species